UGUACACAUAUUUUUAGUGAAAAUAUUUUCAUGUGUAUUAACAACAUGCAAUGUAACAGAAUUUUAAACAUUGGUGGUUUUAUAUUUGACAGCUAAUUUUCUAAGAUGUUAUCAGUGAACAAAGGAUCCCUGCCAUCAGAACAUGACUUGCAGUUUCUUAUGACACUUGAAGAGAUUGUGUGGGCUCUCUCCAGGGAGUCUGUCCUGAAGACAUGAAAACACAGCCAGUAUUGUCAUGCCGCCACUUUUCAUGAUGUUAUUGUUAACCAUGGACUUCAAGGCUGGACUUGUUUCCUGUGGCAGCUCCUGUGGUGGGGAGAAGGGCUCACACAUACUCCAGUUUCACUCCACUACAGGUUGGAGAGCAAUGAAAGACUACCCAGAGAUGCUGAGAGAGUCUUGGAGCAGAUGCCUGCAAAGGAGAGCUAUCACAAAGUAUAAUAUCAGAAAGAAACACUUUCUGAAAUGUUGAAUUUUGAACAGCUUCUGAACAGCUUCCAUGAAGAAAAUUUACAUGUUGCUGAUUUAUUAGAGACAAUGAACAAGAAGUCAUCUGUACCUCGUAAUACCUGAUGUCACAGAGAAGUCUGGAGCCAGACUAGGAGAAGGUAGCAAUUCCAGUAAAACAGUGAAUGACACCAAGAGUACUUGAAUCCUCUAUAAAUCUUUAGAAUACUGUAUUUAUAAAU
rnacentral:lncRNA from 1 species